AUUCUUUCCCAUUUUAUCAACCCAUUAGUGAUAUUGAUGGAUUGAAAUUUUUUUUUCCCCUUUGCAUCUUGCUCCCUGGCGCUCAGCUGUUCUAGAGUUAUAAUGUUGUAGGCUUGGAUUCAUGUGUUUUUAGAGGCCUAUUAAUUAGGCUGCGUUUUGAGCCUUUGUUGUCUCUGAGCUUUGGCCCAUGAACUUUCUCAGCAAUGCAAUGGGGAAAAAAAAA
rnacentral:misc_RNA from 1 species